AGCUUUGCGCAGUGAUAGUAUUAUAGCCAAUGAGAUUUGUCUAAGGCGCAAUUAUUGCUAAUUGAAAAAAAUUUUGUGUAACCUCAC
rnacentral:snRNA from 1 species